UACCACCAGGCAAUGAACAAAGAGAAAACUUUCUGGUAGUGUUGUUCUUAUAUCAGUCAGGGGCAGAGCAGGUGAUGGGCCUUUGUUUAUCCUAGAUUGAUGCCUGGCUUAGUCGCCAGAGCUCUUUUAGACCUAGGACUCAUAA